AAAAAGAGAGAAGAGUCCUGAGCUUUUAUUCCAAUAAAAGCUCAGGACUCUUCUCUCCUCCU
rnacentral:miRNA from 1 species